ACUGCUCAGUAACACGUGGACAACCUGCCCUUAGGACGGGGAUAAACCCGGGAAACUGGGUAUAAUACCCGAUAGGUCUCGAUUGCUGGAAUGCAUCGAGAUUUAAAGCUCCGGCGCCUAAGGAUGGGUCUGCGGCCUAUCAGGUAGUAGUGGGUGUAGCGUACCUACUAGCCUACGACGGGUACGGGUUGUGAGAGCAAGAGCCCGGAGAUGGAUUCUGAGACACGAAUCCAGGCCCUACGGGGUGCAGCAGGCGCGAAAACUUUACAAUGCUGGCAACAGCGAUAAGGGAACCUCGAGUGCCAGGUUACAAAUCUGGCUGUCGAGAUGCCUAAAAAGCAUUUUAUAGCAAGGGCCGGGCAAGACCGGUGCCAGCCGCCGCGGUAACACCGGCGGCUCGAGUGGUAACCGUUAUUAUUGGGUCUAAAGGGUCUGUAGCCGGCCGGAUAAGUCUCUUGAGAAAUCUGGCAGCUUAACUGUCAGGCUUUCAGGAGAUACUGUCUGGCUCGAGGCCGGGAGAGGUGAGAGGUACUUCAGGGGUAGGGGUGAAAUCUUGUAAUCCUUGAAGGACCACCAGUGGCGAAGGCGUCUCACCAGAACGGACCUGACGGCAAGGGACGAAAGCUAGGGGCACGAACCGGAUUAGAUACCCGGGUAGUCCUAGCCGUAAACGAUACUCGCUAGGUGUCGGCCACGGUGCGACCGUUGUCGGUGCCGUAGGGAAGCCGUGAAGCGAGCCACCUGGGAAGUACGGCCGCAAGGCUGAAACUUAAAGGAAUUGGCGGGGGAGCAC
rnacentral:rRNA from 1 species